UACGGAGGAUGCAAGCGUUAUCCGGAAUGGUUGGGCGUAAAGCGUCCGCAGGUGGCUAUGUAAGUCUGCUGUUAAAGAGUCUAGCUCAACUAGAUAAGAGCAGUGGAAACUACAAGGCUAGAGUACGUUCGGGGCAGAGGGAAUUCCUGGUGUAGCGGUGAAAUGCGUAGAGAUCAGGAAGAACACCAGUGGCGAAGGCGCUCUGCUAGGCCGUAACUGACACUGAGGGACGAAAGCUAGGGGAGCGAAUGGG
rnacentral:rRNA from 1 species